CUCUAAGUCAUUUCGGUUAAUUUCAUCAAUGUGGGGGGGGGGGACGACGACAAGAAUCAUGCCAUCUGCUGUGUUCUUCUCAUGCUACACAAUGUAAUUAAUGCUAUAGCUAUCCAUGUGCGUUUGAAGUCUGAUAAGCCACACGAGUGCAUUUUCAAACUUGAGGAUCAGCAGCCCUAGUCCUACCUCAGUGAAAUCUUUCAACAUAUAAGCAAAGACUUAUAUAAGAUGAGAUGUCUCCUUUUGCCUUCCAGUUAAGUCUGUUCACCUCUAGCCGGUGGAGGAUCUAUGAACUCUGAUAUGGCCAAACAUAGUGUCGGUGCUAUUCCUGGCCUUAUUGCGUUAGUCUGUACUUAGGAGAAUCAUCCAGGGGAAGGCAGAGGAAGUUUGGAAGGAAGACGAGGAGAUUAUGAGGAAAGAGGAGCUGGAACAAGCCGAGGUGAUGACACCAGGACAGUCUGGUACACCACAUAGGUUUGUGUUAUGUGACAAGAGGCAGGCCUACUCAUUAUGGACUCCAUGGCUGGGUUUGAAUUGCCAUUCUAUGUAUCGUACUCAUACUAAACCUUACCAGUAUGCACAAAUGCUGCAUUCAACUUACCGUACAUUGGAAGUGGCAUCACUUGCGACUUCCAUCCAUUGGAACUACAAAGUGGAGAGAAAAAACUAACUGCCAUGAAUGAUGUAUAUUUACUUCAUCAAUACUGCAACCUGUACAUCAAUGUUACAGAUUUAACAAGCUAAUAUUCCCAUUUGUUGUGUGAUCCAAAGCAAAUCCUCAUGUAUAUA
ensembl:lncRNA